AGCCAACAACUCAUUUGGAAAAAAAAUGGAAAAGUUAGAGAGAGAAAUUGGAUCUAAGGAGAAACCCUCAGGACUAAGCAUUUUAUACCAAUUUUGAGUUGUUUGAUAUCUAUAAUGUAGAUCUUGUGUGUCUAUAGUGAUAUAGCUUGAUCCCAAGCUAAAAGAAGCCUAUUUCUUUGCUCCCCAAGGUGAAAAACGCGCAUCUUUCGUCAUUUCAUUGGUAAAUAUUGUUCUAACCACUAGAUCUAUUUCAUGUAUUGUUUGUACCUAGUCAGACUUGUUGGUUUACAUAUAUAUUAUGUAGUAAUUGGUAGAUCCAGAGAUUUUACCGAUUAUUUUCUGUAUGCAUAUUUGGAAACCAAGUCUAGGGACUAGAUCUAGCCGAAUCUAGCACUUUAAACGGUUAUGGAGCUCAAAACUCUAACCUAUAUGCUAGAUCAUUCUUGAUUUUAUUAUUUUAUAUGCAACUGUUAUACUGGUUAUAUUAUUUAACUUUGUUUCGGCUGAUUGGGUGUUUUUGUUAUAUCAUUAUUCAUAUUACCACGUAUUUUUCUCUUAAUUUGUGUUGCUUUUUAUUCAAUGGAGUUUGGUCGCUUUCUGUUGCGAUCUGGUUUUUUAGGUGAGUGUUGUUCUUGGUGGAGGAUCUGCAGUUUCCUUUCCGAUCUGGUUUCAUGAUUUUAUUGCUUAUCUAUGACAUGAUCAGAUUUGGGUUUAGUUUUCAGUAGAUGUCGUUGCUUGGAAUCCACUGUGGUUUAUUCUCUGCUGGUUUUGGGGGUCUAUGCUGAAGCUUAGCCAGAAGUUAUGGUUUGGUGAUUCAUCGCCGGAAUUUCACAUACUGUUCCAUCGGCUCUUACUUGGGCUGCUACCUUGCGGUUCUGAUGGGUUGUCAGAUCUGGGGGUUUGCCGAUGGUCUGUUCGCCGAUCUGGAUCUGCUCCGGCAGUUAGCCGAUUUCCUACUGAUUGGUUAAGUGUUGUAGGGGAUGUCACGUGGGGCUGACUGGCUGUCCCCCACGUGUGGGUUAACCUCUUUGGUACAUGUGAUAUUGACCCUUUUAAAACUUUGAAACCAAAUACUUUUGAAUGUUGGAGUACAUGUGCUAAUGGUCUGCAUAUGUUGCUCCUGCUGGCAUGUGCAGCUACCAUGAUGGGCUGAUAUUUGAGUUCCACUAUCCUUAAUUCAAACUGAUGGUGGAUCUUUAUGUAGCUGUUAUUUUCCUGAAUUUAGUUAAAGGAUGAAUUACAUAUUUUAUUAUAUUUUUGAAAAUAAUUAUAACAAUAGUGUACUCAUAAAAUAUUUACAUAAUUAAUACAAUUUCAUAUUUAUUUACAAUAUUAGUGCAAUUAGAAUUUCUUAAUUUAGAGAAUUAGUAUGCAAUUAUGAUUUCUUAAUUUAGGGAUUAAUUAUCCCCAUGACUUCUUCUUUCUCUCCUCAUCUAGAACAACUGCAUUACUUAGUCAUCACCCUUCUUCUUCAUUUGACGUAUUCUUUAUAUAUAUUUAUUCCUCUAAAAGCAGUAACCGCGAGGAGGUGAUAUUUGCUAUUAGGCUGGGGCUGGGGCUGGGGGAGUGGGGGGCGAGGAGGGAUAAAAGGUCAAGUUCUCACUUAAAGUCAUUAUUCCUACUACUUCUCAUUUACCGUGAAUAGAGAAAUGCUUAGUAUGUGAAUAACAUGUGUCUUGUAUAAGAAUUUGGAUAGGUUCACAUCGUGGAAUAUAAGAUUUUGAAAGCUUCUUCUUAUAAUACAUUAGGUAUGACGAAGGAGGUCAGUUGACAGAAACUGUCCGCAGGAGGCCAUAUGCAGUUAUUUUGUUUGAUGAGAUUGAGAAAGUUCAUUCUGACGUGUUCAAUGUGUUCUUUCAAAUACUGGAUGAUGGUAACCAAACCUUCAUACCAAAGUAACCAAACUGUCAUAUUAAAGUAACCAACCAACCUCCACACUUUAAAUUUUUUCUUAGUGCAGUUGGUAACCAAAUCUUCAGAAGGUAAACAAACUUUCAUACCAAGGUAACAAAACCUUCAUACCACGGUAACCAAUUCACAACCACACCUGCAAUUUUUUCAUAGUACAGUUGGUAGCCAAACCUUCAGACCAAGGUAACCAAUUUAAUUUUAUUAAGUUACCAAUUUCGUUAAAAUAUGAUGCAGUUGGUUGCAAACCAUUCAUACAAAAGUAAUCAUUUUAGUAUUUAUGAGUAACAAAAUGUCAUAAAAAAAAUUUAGAGCAGUAAAAGUUACAUCUAUUUAUUUUAAAACUUUUUGUAGGACGAAUCUUCUUCUUCUUCUCAUUAGCCUUUUGGACAACAGAGAUUUGCGACGGUAUAGCGGCGGAGUAGCGGAAGAGAAGCCGGCGGGAAGAGAGAACUAAAAAAGUAAAAACUGAAAUAGAGCCCAAUUUACAUGUACAAAUAUUUUAUUUAUUUAUUUAUGAACUAUUAUUUCAAAGUGUAUGUGAGGGAGAUAAAGAUUUGAAUUUCAAUAUUUGAAUUUGAAUUAUUAUUUUGAAUUUGAAUUUAUUUUUGUUGUUAGAUCUCAAAUAUUUGAAUUUAAAUUAUUA
rnacentral:lncRNA from 1 species